UAAGGAAUAUUGCUCAAUGGGAGAAAUCCUGAAGCAGCAACGCCGCGUGGAGGAUGAAGGGUCUAUGACUUGUAAACUCCUGUAAAGAAGGAAAAAAUUCCCAUUUGAUGGGAGAUGAUGGUACUUCUGGAGUAAGCCCCGGCUAACUACGUGCCAGCAGCCGCGGUAAUACGUAGGGGGCAAGCGUUGUCCGGAUUUACUGGGUGUAAAGGGUGCUCAGGCGGAUUUGUAAGUCAGAGGUGAAAUCUUACAGCUUAACUGUGAAACUGCCUGUGAUACUGCAAGCCUAGAGUAUGGAAGAGAGUGAUGGAAUAUCUGGUGUAGCAGUGAAAUGCGUAGAUAUCAGAUAGAACACCAAUGGCGAAGGCAGUCACUUGGUCCAUUACUGACGCUAAAGCACGAAAGC
rnacentral:rRNA from 1 species